rnacentral:rRNA from 1 species
UACGGGGGGAGCAAGCGUUGUUCGGAUUUACUGGGCGUAAAGGGUGCGUAGGCGGUCUGGUAAGUCUGACGUGAAAUCUUCAAGCUCAACUUGGAGACUGCGUCGGAUACUAUUCGGCUAGAGGAAUGGAGGGGAGACUGGAAUACUUGGUGUAGCAGUGAAAUGCGUAGAUAUCAAGUGGAACACCAGUGGCGAAGGCGAGUCUCUGGACAUUUCCUGACGCUGAGGCACGAAAGCCAGGGGAGCAAACGGG